rnacentral:rRNA from 1 species
GACGAACGCUGGCGGCGUGCUUAACACAUGCAAGUCGAACGGAAAGGCCUGCUUUCCCUUGUGGAUUGCGGGUACUCGAGUGGCGAACGGGUGAGUAACACGUGAGUGAUCUGCCCCCAACUUGGGUAUAAGCCUGGGAAACUGGGUCUAAUUCCCGAUAGGACUGCAGGGUGGUGCCUGUGGUGGAAAACGAUUUUCUAGUGGUUGGGGAUGAGCUCGCGGCCUAUCAGCUUGUUGGUGGGGUAAUGGCCUACCAAGGCGGCGACGGGUAGCCGGCCUGAGAGGGUGGACGGCCACAUUGGGACUGAGAUACGGCCCAGACUCCUACGGGAGGCAGCAGUGGGGAAUAUUGCACAAUGGGCGGAAGCCUGAUGCAGCGACGCCGCGUGGGGGAUGACGGCCUUCGGGUUGUAAACUCCUUUCGACCGCGAGGAAGCCACCUGGUUGGAAGGGUGGUGACGGUAGUGGUAGAAGAAGCACCGGCUAACUACG